UACGUAGGUGGCAAGCGUUGUCCGGAUUUAUUGGGCGUAAAGAGCGUGUAGGCGGCCAGGUAGGUCCGCUGUGAAAACUCGAGGCUUAACCUCGAGAUGUCGGUGGAAACCAUCUGGCUAGAGUCCGGAAGAGGAGAGUGGAAUUCCUGGUGUAGCGGUGAAAUGCGCAGAUAUCAGGAAGAACACCCGUGGCGAAGGCGGCUCUCUGGGACGGUACUGACGCUGAGACGCGAAAGCGUGGGGAGCGAACAGG
rnacentral:rRNA from 1 species